AGUGAACGCUGGCGGUAGGCCUAACACAUGCAAGUCGAACGGCAGCACAGUAAGAGCUUGCUCUUACGGGUGGCGAGUGGCGGACGGGUGAGGAAUACAUCGGAAUCUACUUUUUCGUGGGGGAUAACGUAGGGAAACUUACGCUAAUACCGCACACGACCUACGGGUGAAAGCAGGGGAUCUUCGGACCUUGCGCGAUUGAAUGAGCCGAUGUCGGAUUAGCUAGUUGGCGGGGUAAAGGCCCACCAAGGCGACGAUCCGUAGCUGGUCUGAGAGGAUGAUCAGCCACACUGGAACUGAGACACGGUCCAGACUCCUACGGGGGGCAGCAGUGGGGAAUAUUGGACAAUGGGCGCAAGCCUGAUCCAGCCAUACCGCGUGGGUGAAGAAGGCCUUCGGGUUGUAAAGCCCUUUUGUUGGGAAAGAAAAGCAGCAGGUUAAUACCCCGCUGUUCUGACGGUACCCAAAGAAUAAGCACCGGCUAACUUCGUG
rnacentral:rRNA from 1 species